AUUGAACGCUGGCGGCAUGCCUUACACAUGCAAGUCGAACGGCAGCACGGGAGCAAUCCUGGUGGCGAGUGGCGAACGGGUGAGUAAUAUAUCGGAACGUGCCCAGUCGUGGGGAUAACGUAGCGAAAGCUACGCUAAUACCGCAUACGAUCUAUGGAUGAAAGCGGGGGAUCGCAAGACCUCGCGCGAUUGGAGCGGCCGAUAUCAGAUUAGGUAGUUGGUGAGGUAAAGGCUCACCAAGCCGACGAUCUGUAGCUGGUCUGAGAGGACGACCAGCCACACUGGGACUGAGACACGGCCCAGACUCCUACGGGAGGCAGCAGUGGGGAAUUUUGGACAAUGGGCGCAAGCCUGAUCCAGCAAUGCCGCGUGCAGGAUGAAGGCCUGUGUA
rnacentral:rRNA from 1 species